rnacentral:rRNA from 1 species
AUACGUAGGGGGCGAGCGUUGUCCGGAAUGAUUGGGCGUAAAGGGCGCGUAGGCGGCCCGGUAAGUCUGGAGUGAAAGUCCUGUUUUUAAGAUGGGAAUUGCUUUGGAUACUGUCGGGCUUGAGUGCAGGAGAGGUAAGUGGAAUUCCCAGUGUAGCGGUGAAAUGCGUAGAGAUUGGGAGGAACACCAGUGGCGAAGGCGAAUUACUGGACUGUAACGGACGCUGAGGCGCGAAAGUGUGGGUAGCAAACAGGAUUAGAUACCCUGGUAGUCCACACUGUAAACGAUGAAUGCUAGGUGUAGGGGGUAUCGACCCCUUCUGUGCCGCAGUCAACACAAUAAGCAUUCCGCCUGGGGAGUACGGCCGCAAGGUUGAAACUCAAAGGAAUUGACGGGG